UACAGCCAUAUCACAUUGAAACACCAGUUCUUGUAUGAUCACCAAAAUUAAGCAAUGUUGAGCCAGGUCAGUACCUAGAUGAGUCACCACUUAGGAAUAUCAGGUGAUGUAG